GGAUGAAGCUUCAAAUUUGAAAUCUGGCGUCUUUCAGGCGUCCGAAGUUGUAAUCUAUAGAGGCGUUUUCCGCGCCGGACCGCGUCCAAGUCUCUUGGAAUAGAGUAUCAAAGAGGGUGACAAUCCCGUACUUGACGCGACAACCGGUGCUCUGUGAUACGUUCUCAACGAGUCGAGUUGUUUGGGAAUGCAGCUCUAAAUGGGUGGUAAAUUCCAUCUAAGGCUAAAUAUUGGCGAGAGACCGAUAGCGAACAAGUACCGUGAGGGAAAGAUGAAAAGCACUUUGGAAAGAGAGUUAAACAGCACGUGAAAUUGUUAAAAGGGAAACGAUUGAAGUCAGUCGUGUGAAAGGUAUUCAGCCGUCUCUGGCGGUGUAUUUGCCUUUCACGGGUCAACAUCAGUUUAGUCCGGUAGAAAAAGGCUGGAGGAAGGUGGCACCCUCGGGUGUGUUAUAGCCUCCUGUCAUAUGUGCCGGAUUAGACUGAGGAACGCAGCUUGCAGCAAUGCCGGGGUUCGCCCACGUACAAGCUUAGGAUGUUGACAUAAUGGCUUUAAACGACCCGUCUUG
rnacentral:rRNA from 1 species